GUCCUAGCCCUAAACGAUGAUUGCUUGGUGUGUCGGGUACCCAAUCCCGCCGUGCCGAAGCUAACGCGAUAAGCAAUCCGCCUGGGGAGUACGGUCGCAAGACUGAAACUCAAAGGAAUUGACGGGGGCCCGCACAAGCGGUGGAGCAUGUGGUUCAAUUCGACGCAACGCGAAGAACCUUACCUGGGCUCGAAAUGUAGUGGACCGGGGUGGAAACAUCCCUUCCCGCAAGGGUCGCUAUAUAGGUGCUGCAUGGCUGUCGU
rnacentral:rRNA from 1 species